rnacentral:rRNA from 1 species
CCUACGGGGGGCAGCAGUGAGGAAUAUUGGUCAAUGGGCUUACGCCUGAACCAGCCAAGUCGCGUGAGGGAAGACUGCCCUAUGGGUUGUAAACCUCUUUUGUCAGGGAGCAACGCCGGCUACGUGUAGCCGGCCUGAGAGUCCCUGACGACAAAGCAUCGGCUAACUCCUUGCCAGCAGCCGCGGUAAUCCGGAGGAUGCGAGCGUUAUCCGGUUUUAUUGGGUUUAAGGGGUGCGCAGGCGGAAUGCCAAGUCAGCGGUAAAUUCCCGGGGCUAAACCUCGCUCCGCCGUUGAAACUGGCGUGCUUGAGUGGGCGAGAAGUAGGGGGAAGGCGUGGUGUAGCGGUGAAAUGCAUAGAUAUCACGCAGAACUCCGAUUGCGAAGGCAGCAUACCGGCGCCCAACUGACGCUGAAGCACGAAAGCGUGGGUAUCGAACAGGAUUAGAUACCCCGGUAGUC